rnacentral:piRNA from 1 species
UUAUGAUCAAAAUUCGAGUAG